rnacentral:rRNA from 1 species
AUUGAACGCUGGCGGCAGGCCUAACACAUGCAAGUCGAGCGGAGCGGCGGACGGGCGAGUAAUGCCUAGGUAUCUGCCUGGUAGUGGGGGAUAACGUCCGGCAACGGGCGCUAACACCGCAUACUAUCAGACGAGCCUAGGGUGGAUUAGCUAGUUGGUGGGGUAAAUGCCUACAAAGGCGACGAUCCGUAGCUGGUCUGAGAGGAUGAUCAGUCACACUGGAACUGAGACACGGUCCAGACUCCUACGGGAGGCAGCAGUGGGGAAUAUUGGACAAUGGGCGAAAGCCUGAUGCAGCCAUGCCGCGUGUGUGAAGAAGGUCUUCGGGUUGUAAAGCACUUUAAGUUGGGAGGCGUUACCAGCAGAAUAAGCACCGGCUAACUUCGUGCCAGCAGCCGCGGUAAUUC